GACGAACGCUGGCGGCGUGCUUAACACAUGCAAGUCGAACGGAAAGGCCCUGCUUGCAGGGUACUCGAGUGGCGAACGGGUGAGUAACACGUGGGUGAUCUGCCCUGCACUUCGGGAUAAGCCUGGGAAAUUGGGUCUAAUACCGGAUAGGAGCCAUUUUUAGUGUGAUGGUUGGAAAGUUUUUUCGGUGUAGGAUGAGCUCGCGGCCUAUCAGCUUGUUGGUGGGGUAAUGGCCUACCAAGGCGGCGACGGGUAGCCGGCCUGAGAGGGUGGACGGCCACAUUGGGACUGAGAUACGGCCCAGACUCCUACGGGAGGCAGCAGUGGGGAAUAUUGCACAAGGGGCGCAAGCCUGAUGCAGCGACGCCGCGGGGGGGAUGACGGCCUUCGGGUUGUAAACUCCUUUCGCUAGGGACGAAGCUUUUUGUGACGGUACCUAGAUAAGAAGCACCGGCUAACUACGUG
rnacentral:rRNA from 1 species